rnacentral:lncRNA from 10 species
CCAGUCGCGUCGGGCCUCCCGAGGGGGCUGCGAGUGUCAGUCGGCUCUCCGCACGUGUCCGCGGCCUCGCGGAGCAGUCCACCCCUGGCUGGUUUCUGCUUCCACCUGCUGAUCUCACAGAGGUGAGGUGAUAACAGUGAUGAAACAAAAUCUUCAAACCACAGCACACACUGCAAGCUAUUUGGCAUAUGAAGGUCUUGACCUGAGAAAACCAUCUUGGAUAACUGCAGCAAGGAAAAGGAAAAAUGCAACACCUAGGAGAUUUCAGUAAACAGUAGAAUCAUGCCAACCUAAUCUGUGUUAAAAUGCUUGGAAUGUGGGAGCCGCUGAUGAUGCCUCUUGUCUGUGUGUCUGACUGAAUCCUUUCUUUUCUCAGAGCAGCAAAGCAAAGCCUGGGAACCAGGCCAAAUGCCUGCCACUUACCUUAAAUUGAUCAGCCACUUUGAGAUUAAAACCCCUGAAAGCUGCCACACCGUGAAAACAAGGCCUCCUUCACAUUAAAGGCAAAUUGCGACUUUGG